UACGUAGGUCCCGAGCGUUGUCCGGAUUUAUUGGGCGUAAAGCGAGCGCAGGUGGUUUAUUAAGUCUGGUGUAAAAGGCAGUGGCUCAACCAUUGUAUGCAUUGGAAACAGGUAGACUUGAGUGCAGGAGAGGAGAGUGGAAUUCCAUGUGUAGCGGUGAAAUGCGUAGAUAUAUGGAGGAACACCGGUGGCGAAAGCGGCUCUCUGGCCUGUAACUGACACUGAGGCUCGAAAGCGUGGGGAGCAAAUAGG
rnacentral:rRNA from 1 species